rnacentral:rRNA from 1 species
CCUACGGGAGGCAGCAGUAGGGAAUUUUUCACAAUGGGCGAAAGCCUGAUGGAGCAACGCCGCGUGCAGGAUGAAGGCCUUCGGGUUGUAAACUGCUUUUAUAAGCGAGAAAUAUGAUGGUAACUUAUGAAUAAGGAUCGGCUAACUACGUGCCAGCAGCCGCGGUCAUACGUAGGAUCCGAGCAUUAUCCGGAGUGACUGGGUGUAAAGAGUUGCGUAGGUGGCAUAAUAAGUAGCUAGUGAAAUCUGGUGGCUCAACCAUUCAGACUAUUAGCGAAACUGUUAAGCUCGAGACCGUUAGGGGUAACUGGAAUUUCUAGUGUAGGAGUGAAAUCCGUAGAUAUUAGAAGGAACACCAAUAGCGUAGGCAGGUUGCUGGGACGGUUCUGACACUAAGGCACGAAAGCGUAGGGAGCAAACGGGAUUAGAUACCCUAGUAGUC